CUCAGACAUGGAAAUCAAUGUUUAUACAAGCAGCAUCCUGAAAUUGUAAAAGGUUUAGCCAUUGCAAAUAACACACGCUUUGGUAAGAUUGAAAGAGACUAGCAAAGUAAGAGAUGAUUUGAAUUAUUGAAAAUACAUUUGGGGAACAUUUUCGAUUUCUUUUUUAUAUACCGUUUUUGUUGAUAAAAUAUAUUGCUUCCCAUUCAUCUACUGAGAGAGACUUUCCUUAUAAGAAGAAAUACAAAAAACGAAGAGAAAAAAAGGUCAACAAAACUAUCACAUCAGCUAUGUCUGACAACAUAUGGAAGGUUUUAUAUCCAUAGUCCCCAACUUCUGCAAAAAAGUUGUCAGAGGACAAAGAUUGCACAUCCUUGAAGUUUGGUAUUUGAUGCAGAGCUAGUUCCCUGAAAUGCCCUGCCUCUUCAAAUGAAAUUUUGGAGACAGUCUUGGGAGCCAAUGGGAACGAGCGAGUAUUGUCCUGGGAGUCAGAAACUUUGGAUUCCAGCACCAGAGAUGAACCUGGGAGCAGAAGAGCUGAAAUGAUUUGCUUGAGAUCAAACACAGUGACAGGACCACAUUGGAAAUCAGCUUUCCCAACUCCUAAUCUUUUGGAGAAUUGUUUUGAGGAAUCAAGACGUUUUUGAUCCUGUGUGGAAACUUCUAGGCAGAGUCAGUGACAAAGGCUGCUAACCUCAGGAGUCGUAAUUGGCAACAACUUCACAACUGACAGUUGGUGACAGUCACUAAAAGGUUUUUUUUCUUAAUAAAUGGGGUUCUUUUAAAUCUGGGGUGCCA
rnacentral:lncRNA from 1 species